CCAUGCUUCCUUGCAUUCAAUA
rnacentral:miRNA from 1 species